CCUGUAAACAUUCCGUACUACCCCACGCACAACAGAUGGUGUCCCGUAAAAGUUCUUGAUGCCUACAUACAGCACCAUCACUUACUGCCCUCGCAACCGUUAUUACAACUACAAGGUGCAGUACUCACCACUACAACCUUCAUGACCUACGUCAGGUCCUUGCUCACACAACUGGGCCUCAACGCAAACAAUUACUCAGGACACUAGUUUCGUAUAGGAGCCGCGUCCACAG